UAAACAAAGUUGACAGAGAAGGGACAAAC
rnacentral:piRNA from 1 species